rnacentral:misc_RNA from 1 species
UGGUUCUGGCAUCGAUGAAGAACGCAGCGAAAUGCGAUAAGUAAUGUGAAUUGCAGAAUUCAGUGAAUCAUCGAAUUUUUGAACGCACAUUGCGCCCCCUGGUAUUCCGGGGGGCAUGCCUGUUCGAGCGUCAUUUCAACCCUCAAGCUCUGCUUGGUGAUGGGGCACCGCCUGUGAAAGGGCGGGCCCUGAAAUCCAGUGGCGAGCUCGCCAGGACCCCGAGCGUAGUAGUUAUAUCUCGUUCUGGAAGGCCCUGGCGGUGCCCUGCCGUUAAACCCCCAAAUUCUGAAAUUUUGACCUCGGAUCAGGUAGGAAUACCCGCUGA